rnacentral:rRNA from 1 species
AUUGAACGCUGGCGGCAUGCCUUACACAUGCAAGUCGAACGGUAACAGGUCUUCGGAUGCUGACGAGUGGCGAACGGGUGAGUAAUGCAUCGGAACGUGCCCAGUAGUGGGGGAUAGCCCGGCGAAAGCCGGAUUAAUACCGCAUACGACCUGAGGGUGAAAGGGGGGGAUGGCAAGACCUCGCGCUAUUGGAGCGGCCGAUGUCAGAUUAGCUAGUUGGUGGGGUAAAGGCCUACCAAGGCAACGAUCUGUAGUUGGUCUGAGAGGACGACCAGCCACACUGGGACUGAGACACGGCCCAGACUCCUACGGGAGGCAGCAGUGGGGAAUUUUGGACAAUGGGCGCAAGCCUGAUCCAGCAAUGCCGCGUGUAGGAAGAAGGCCUUCGGGUUAUAAACUGCUUUUGUCAGGGAAGAAAUCUUCUGGGUUAGUACCUCGGGAGGAUGACGGUACCUGAAGAAUAAGCACCGGCUAACUACGUGCCAGCAGCCGCCGUAAAAC